GACAAUGCAAAAGGGGCAUGAAUCACAACCAUUUUCCUUAUCUCUAUGAUAGUAAGGCCAAAUAGCUCCAUCGUGUAUCAGCCUUUUACAACAUUCAACUUGAGUAAGAGGGCUACCACAACUACAAGGCAGGUCUUUAUUUAUAAGGCACUGAAUAUCGGGAAGCUGUAACAUUCUUCUGUAAACACGUUUUUGCAAAUCACUCAUUGCACAGAAUACAAUGUUAUCUUCCUUCCCCAUCAUAAGAUGCCCAAUGGUCUCCUCCUUUGUCCUUCUCAACAUAUAUUUACGAAGAACUGUCACAAGGUGUUGCUUUCUCUUAUUAGCAAUUUGGACAAACCUAUCAGGAGCAGUUGACCUCUGGCCCAGCUUAAGGGGUUCAUCGUAGAAAUCAUGAAAGUGUUCCCUUGUUCCAAGGGAUCCAGGUGCAACCCAGUCAAAGAGAUUGAACAAUUCCAUAAUCUUAUUUUGCAUUACGGUCCCAGUAAGACCAUAGCGUCUCAGGGUUUUGAUUUCUAAACAUGCUUUAUAGAGUUUUGAUCUAUCAUUCUUAAGUCGAUGAGCCUCAUCAAUAAUCACGACGUUCCAGUUGAUAUCUAAAAAGGAUCUGCCAUGAAUUCUGUAACUGUCAAAACUGGUAAUAAGUAUCUCCACUCCAUUUGCUUGCAAUUUAUCAUAUACCAGAUCCCGGUUUGCACCAUGAUAAAUGGAAACACUGAAGUUAGACCACUUAGAGAAUUCGUCCUCCCAGUUGUGAAUAACAGAACUUGGGCAAAUUAUUAAUACCGGGUCUCUUUUCUUUACCCAGUUUUCACUUAGAACAGACUCUCCUUCUUUACCAAAGAUGGCAGCAAGAAAUGCUAUAGCUUGAAUGGUCUUUCCAAGACCCCUGUUUCAAAUUUCAACAUCCCAAAAUGAACUUCCACUUGGUAAUUGAAGUCAGAAUUGUGAUAAAAAGAACCAAAUUUCACAAGAACAGAAGAAAAGUAUAAAAAGUAAAAGUAUACCAACAAAUAAAAGACACAAAACAGAAUAUAAAGUCCACAAAAAAGCAGCAAACUCAGCAUCUUUAAUUUGUUUGUCAGGAUCAUCUUUGGGGUUUGGCUUAAUCAGCUCAAGGUGAUUGCUUAUCUAGCAUAAAGAAACAGCAAUAUUAAAAAUAAUGCAAAAGAGCAUCAUGAACAUGAUCUUAAACAAGCUUGUUCAUGGAAGCAGGACAUAAACAUGGUGUAAACUGAAAGGCAACAGUGCUUAACACUUUUUAACCAAAGGUUAAGGCUGGAUUUUAAUUGCCGAGAGACUAACUGUGCCUUGUACAACAUUAUCUUAAAAGACAAAAAAAACAUCAAUGAAAUUUGCAAUUCAAUCAAAUCACAGAUCCUUGGUUCACUUAGAAGUUAUUUUUCCUAGAAAUUAUGAUACUAUUACUUGGCACUGGUUUCGAAAACUUCUUUUAUAUCAAAUCCUAAGACUCAUCUAAGCAUUUAUUUCUCCACAGAGCAAGUAGAUCUCAUUCAAGUACAUAAUUUAAUGUGAAAAUAGAGAAUUUUGUACAUAAACGAGAUCUAGAAAAGUCAUUAGUUAAUCAUUUAACUUUUAGCAAAAUAUAUCUUCUCGAGUUCAGCCAUUGCCUUUCUUUCUUUUCCGGUUUUCCCUCUUAAAAUUAUUGAUUGCUCUUAAGGAUAUUUUGCAAUGAAAAUGUAAUAAAAAUAGAGGUAAAAAAUUUCAAAGGUCUCACUUUACCUGUUGAAGCUUGAGGAGGCAUGGAAGGACAAUGCAAAAGGGGCAUGAAUCACAACCAUUUUCCUUAUCUCUAUGAUAGUAAGGCCAAAUAGCUCCAUCGUGUAUCAGCCUUUUACAACAUUCAACUUGAGUAAGAGGGCUACCACAACUACAAGGCAGGUCUUUAUUUAUAAGGCACUGAAUAUCGGGAAGCUGUAACAUUCUUCUGUAAACACGUUUUUGCAAAUCACUCAUUGCACAGAAUACAAUGUUAUCUUCCUUCCCCAUCAUAAGAUGCCCAAUGGUCUCCUCCUUUG
rnacentral:lncRNA from 1 species